rnacentral:rRNA from 1 species
AAAUUGAAGAGUUUGAUCAUGGCUCAGAUUGAACGCUGGCGGCAGGCCUAACACAUGCAAGUCGAGCGGCAGCGGGAAAGUAGCUUGCUACUUUUGCCGGCGA